ACUCAAAUGAAUAGACGGGGGUCCGCACAAGCGGUGGAACAUGUGGUUUAAUUCGAUACUACGCGAGGAACCUUACCUAGGUUUGACAUGUAUAUGACCGCCCCAGAAACGGGGUUUUCUACGGGAAACCGUAGACAUAUACACAGGUGCUGCAUGGCUGUCGUCAGCUCGUGUCGUGAGAUGUUGGGUUAAGUCCUAUAACGAGCGCAACCCCUGCUGUCAGUUGCUACUUCGUAAGAAGGCACUCUGAUGGGACUGCCUGGGAAACCAGGAGGAAGGUGGGGAUGAUGUCAAGUCCGCAUGGUCCUUAUGCCUAGGGCAACACACGUGUUACAAUGGCCAAUACAAAGGGCUGCGAAGUCGCAAGAUGGAGCCAAUCCCACAAAGUUGGUCUAAGUUCAGAUUGAGGUCUGCAACUCGACCUCAUGAAGUUGAAAUCGCUAGUAAUCGCAUAUCAGAACGAUGCGGUGAAUACGUUCUCGGACCUUGUACACACCGCCCGU
rnacentral:rRNA from 1 species